GCCGGGUGUGGUAGUGUGCACCUGUAAUCCCAGCUACUUGGGAGGCUGAGACAAGAGAAUCGCUUGAACCUGGGAGGCUGAGGUUGCAGUGAGCUGAGAUCGCGCCACCGUACUCCAGCCUGGGUGACAGAGCGAGUCUCUGUCUCAA
ensembl:misc_RNA Metazoa_SRP Metazoan signal recognition particle RNA